GAGGUUGUGCCCUUGAGGCGUGGCUUCCGGAGCUAACGCGUUAAGUAGACCGCCUGGGGAGUACGGCCGCAAGGUUAAAACUCAAAUGAAUUGACGGGGGCCCGCACAAGCGGUGGAGCAUGUGGUUUAAUUCGAUGCAACGCGAAGAACCUUACCUGGUCUUGACAUCCACAGAACUUUCCAGAGAUGGAUUGGUGCCUUCGGGAACUGUGAGACAGGUGCUGCAUGGCUGUCGUCAGCUCGUGUUGUGAAAUGUUGGGUUAAGUCCCGCAACGAGCGCAACCCUUAUCCUUUGUUGCCAGCGAUUAGGUCGGGAACUCAAAGGAGACUGCCAGUGAUAAACUGGAGGAAGGUGGGGAUGACGUCAAGU
rnacentral:rRNA from 1 species